rnacentral:misc_RNA from 1 species
AAGUCGUAACAAGGUUUCCGUAGGUGAACCUGCGGAAGGAUCAUUAACACGUAUCCACGUAUCAACCCCAGUGCACUUGUUUUCACGCUCCCUUGUGAGGUACAUGAAUUGGCUAAGUUGAGCGGAGUAUUGAAUGGGACAGGCAACUGUCAGCUCUGCAAGACCGACUGAACGCUUCGGCAUUCGACAAUUGGAGUGCUUCCAAGGCUUUCUCCUAUUACUUUACUCUCCAUUCAAGAGCAGAGUAGUAGGAUAUUCACAAACCAUUUUCACCCCAUUUUUGCUAGUUGACUUUUUUAAUGUUGUUACUUACACUUUGUGUCAGUAGCACACGUUUCUUAAUUGAACGUUAAAAUACAACUCUUAGCAAUGGAUAUCUUGGUUCUC